UUGGUUUUCUUCAAAUGCACUGUAGUUCUUAGUCUUCUAUUAUUUUAUGUAUGUGAAUUAUGGCUUUUUAAUGGUAGCCUAAUAAUUUAAGAUAUCAGUAUUUUAUUUUUCCAGAGGAGAAGCGCUGUUUCUUGAAGUUCAAUAACUAGCUACUUUAGAGAAGCAACUACCAACACAGGAGUAGACAUUCAAGUAAUUUAUUGAGGAAAAUACUUGUGAAGGAUACUGGGGAAGGAAUUAGAGAAAGCAGGAGACUUCUUGUGGUGGAGCUUUACACAUUGAGAAAUUUUGACUGGAGAUGUCAUAAGGUAAAAGCCCACAAGGAGAAAGUCUGCAAGGAAGAAAAGAAGGAAGAGAAAGAAAAUUUCAAGAAGUUAUUAUUGUAAAGAAAUUAACAAAUGAAGAAAAAAAUUAAUGAAAUAAUUUAACUAUUUAAUAAAUUUAGUAAGUAUCCAAAAAAAAACCCA
rnacentral:lncRNA from 13 species